UCCUGCCUCGGCCUCCCGAGUAGCUGGGAUUACAGGUGCCUGCCACCAUGUCUGGCUAAUUUUUGUAUUUUUAGUAGAGAGGAGGUUUCACCACGUUGGCCAGGCUGGUCUCGAACUCCUGACCUCAGGUUAUCCACCCGCUUCAGCCUCCCAAAGUGCUGGGAUUACAGGCAUGAGCCACUGCACCCAGGCCUGAAAUUAACAUUUGAGACAGUGGACUGGGAGAGGCAGACCCUCCCUCAAUCUGGGUGGGCACCAUCUAAUCAGCUGCCAGCACAGCUAGGAUAAAAGCAGGCAGAGGAACGUGGAAGGACUAGACUGGCUGACUCUUCCAGCCUUCAUCUGUCUCCUGUGCCAGAUGCUUCCUGCCUUCGAACAUUGAAUUUCAAGUUCUUCAGCUUUUGGGUUCUUGGACUUACACCAGUGGUUUGCCAGGGGCUCUCCAGCCAUCAGCCACAGACUGAAGGCUGUACUGUUGGCUUCCCUACUUUUGAGGUUUUGGGACUCGGACUGGCCUCCUUGCUCCUCAGCUUGCAGACGGCCUAUUGUGGGACUUCAUCUUAUGAUCGUGACCUGGCUUCUUGAGACUGGAAUAGAAGAAGGGGGAAAAGCCUAGGACAAUAAGCUGAUCCAGUCAAAACUGCUUCUGAGACUCUUCUGGGUGAAAGAGCCCCUACAGUGAUGGCUGACUUCAACACUGCCUGGGAGAGGCCUGGCACCCAUAACAUCUGAGACAUCUCUACCAACUGGGAUCUUCUUUCAAGUUGAGUCAAAAACAGUCAAAGGUGGCCCUGUUCUUCCAACAACCCAUGUCUGAUACAGUCUCAAAUCCUUUUCUAAAGAAGGCAAGGAUAAGAAAGGCAAAUGGAUCCUCAUCCAGAAAUGGAUUAUAGAACUAAACCUGUAUCACCGCAGUUGGAGAUUUCACAAGAAUAUGGCCCCACCUGGUCCUGUUGGGUUUGGUAGGGUUCAAAACAUGCUACCCCAAAUUAUGGCACCUUGGCAUAUUGAAUAUUUUAAGCUGAAGGAAUUUGAGAAGCAGCCUGUGCAGGAAGGACUCUCUAAUCUCCCCUUUCUCCCCAGAGCACAUCGUAAGACCCUCACGGAAGAGGUGUCCUUCCUGUAACUGGAGGAAGGGAGCAUCCUUAUGUCAGAAGAUGGAAGGAUUCUGAGAGGAAUUUGAGGGAAUGGGCCUUGCUAUGUUUCCCCCAGUUUACUAUCCUUAGUUCAUAUCCUUUGUCCUGUCACAUUUUCCCACAACACUCCACUCUUCAUUAAACCAAAUAUAAAAGUGCUCAGGCUUAACCUGACUGGCUUAACCUCAAGCUAACCAUUCUUUGGGUCUUCCUUUCCUUAUGAAGGCUCCUAUGUCAUGUGAAACUUAUAUGAAAUA